rnacentral:rRNA from 1 species
GGUCUUGCUGUCACUUAUAGAUGGAUCCGCGCUGCAUUAGCUAGUUGGUAAGGUAACGGCUUACCAAGGCAACGAUGCAUAGCCGACCUGAGAGGGUGAUCGGCCACACUGGAACUGAGACACGGUCCAGACUCCUACGGGAGGCAGCAGUAGGGAAUCUUCCGCAAUGGGCGAAAGCCUGACGGAGCAACGCCGCGUGAGUGAUGAAGGUCUUCGGAUCGUAAAACUCUGUUAUUAGGGAAGAACAUAUGUGUAAGUAACUGUGCACAUCUUGACGGUACCUAAUCAGAAAGCCACGGCUAACUACGUGCCAGCAGCCGCGGUAAUACGUAGGUGGCAAGCGUUAUCCGGAAUUAUUGGGCGUAAAGCGCGCGUAGGCGGUUUUUUAAGUCUGAUGUGAAAGCCCACGGCUCAACCGUGGAGGGUCAUUGGAAACUGGAAAACUUGAGUGCAGAAGAGGAAAGUGGAAUUCCAUGUGUAGCGGUGAAAUGCGCAGAGAUAUGGAGGAACACCAGUGGCGAAGGCGACUUUCUGGUCUGUAACUGACGCUGAUGUGCGAAAGCGUGGGGAUCAAACAGGAUUAGAUACCCUGGUAGUCCACGCCGUAAACGAUGAGUGCUAAGUGUUAGGGGGUUUCCGCCCCUUAGUGCUGCAGCUAACGCAUUAAGCACUCCGCCU